GGAAGGAGAAAGGGGAAAAAAAAAGAAAAAAAAAAUAGAGGCGAAACGAGGUGGCGGAGGCUCCGCGCGGAGGACUCGACGCGGCCGGGCUUGCCGGCUACCGCAACUUCUCCCGGUGGCACGCAGCCCUGCCCCCUCUCCCGGCGCUGUCUCCCGCGGAGCCUCCCCCUCCGUCGCCGCCCGGAGGCAGCGUCCCCGACCUCCCGCCCGGCCGCUGUACAUGACGGGGAAGGCAGCCCGCCUGGAGCCGAGAGGACGCGCAGCACGGGAAGGACUGCGCCGAGGAACCGCCGCCGGACCCCGCGCCCCGGUUAGUCUGCCGGGCCUCCGUCCCGUCAUCUCCGGGCGAUUUGGGAGAACCGGUUAAACGCCUUCCAUGGGGGAGAGAGGAGCCCGGCCCCCCGCCGCCUGCACCUUCCCCUCCCUGCCGGAGGCUGCUCCUCUCCUGAGACAGACGGACUCUCGCGGGGUGGGGGGAUACCGCGGGGCACCGCAGCCGGGCCUGGGAGCGCAGCACCGCCCGCUGCUGCCGGCCGCGAGAAGAGCCGGCCCGGAGGGAGCCCACGGAUCUGGGUGGAAGGAGCGAGCCCGGCACCGCGAUCACCCUCCGGCAGCACAGAGAGCGAGAAAACCUUCUUCCCUUUCCUCCUGCGCAGCUCGCUUGUCCCCUCCCUUCCCUUUUCCCGAACGCUGAAUGCUGAUUUCUGAGAUGAAAAUCCUCUCCGGGCACCCAGGGCUCGUCUGAAGGACACGGAGAUAUCGGAUCGCAAAUAAGAAGUGAGUCUGGCGAUCUCAGAAACCCAACCCAAAAGGAGCAGCAUCGAUAAUCCACCCUUCUGCUCAACUCACUCCCCACCCAGCACACACAGAAUACUAAUUUCCUGAGAUAAGAUCUUACCCCUUUAAACGACACACACACACACACACAUACGUGGUGUAUAUUAUUUCUACACAGAAUAGGUUAAACCCAGCAGCACAGUAAAAAGCCUCCUCUGCAACUCA